rnacentral:rRNA from 1 species
AACGAACGCUGGCGGCGCGUCUUAAACAUGCAAGUCGAACGAGAACCCUGGUGCUUGCAUUAGGGGGAAAGUGGCGAACGGGUGAGUAACACGUGGAUAAUCUGCCUCCAGGAUGGGGACAACCCCGGGAAACCGGGGCUAAUACCGAGUAAGAUGGUAGAUGCACAGGCAUCAGCCAUUAAAGGUGGGGACCGCAAGGCCUACCGCCUGGAGAUGAGUCCGCGGCCCAUUAGCUUGUUGGCGGGGUAAUGGCCCACCAAGGCAACGAUGGGUAGCCGGCCUGAGAGGGUGAACGGCCACACUGGGACUGAGAUACGGCCCAGACUCCUACGGGAGGCAGCAGUUAAGAAUCUUGCACAAUGGGCGAAAGCCUGAUGCAGCGACGCCGCGUGGACGAUGAAGGUUUUCGGAUUGUAAAGUCCACUAAG